UCGCCUAAUUGCAAUACCCUAUUUUUCAGAUGGAGAAAUUCAACUCAGAAAGAGGAAGAAUCUUCUUUAUUUUUUUUUUUUUUAGUUUAGCACCAUUUAUUAAGUGAUCUCAGCUGUUGUUGUAGCUGCUGUAUAUCAGCCUGUUCUUAAAACAUAAAAUGCUCUUCCAAUUCCUCUUGUCCAGGACAGAAGGAUCUUCCAGGUAGCACGCCAACAGAACAAGAGACUCCGAUGAUGCCAGCUUCAAUGAUGGUGCCAUCCAGAGAGGGAGAGGGUCAUGGCACAUUCAACCGCGGCUUCCAGAGGUUUUGAAAAAGGAGCCUUUGGGGGCCCAGCCUGCCUGGCAUUUUGAUGCUGUCGGUGUGGGUUUUGUACUCCAUAAUGGUGUUGGGAGAUGUCAUCAAAUUAAAAAAAUGGAACACAGUGAGACAUAAACAGCCUGAUAAGCUAAACCUCCUCAUCACAACCUUUUCCCCUGACCAAAAACAAACACGGAUUCCCUGACUGGAACUCCUGAGACAGAGUGAUGUUUUGAAGUGGUAAAUCAAUUGGUGAGUAUCUUGUUAGAAUGAAUAGAUUAAACAUUCUCAAGUCUUUGGUCUGAGCUUCCA
rnacentral:lncRNA from 12 species